AGAAUCAACGCUGGCGGCGUGCCUAACACAUGCAAGUCGAACGAGAAAGUGGAGCAAUCCAUGAGUAAAGUGGCGCACGGGUGAGUAACACGUGACUAACCUACCCUUGAGUGGGGGAUAACCUAGAGAAAUCUGGGCUAAUACCGCAUAAUACCUUCGGGUCAAAGGAGCAAUUCGCUUAAGGAGGGGGUCGCGGCCGAUUAGUUAGUUGGCGGGGUAAUGGCCCACCAAGACUAUGAUCGGUAUCCGGCCUGAGAGGGCGCGACGGACGACGACUGGAACUGAAACACGGUCCAGACUCCUACGGGAGGCAGCAGUGGGGAAUUUUGCGCAAUGGGGGAAACCCUGACGCAGCAACGCCGCGUGGAGGAUGAAGUCCCUUGGGACGUAAACUCCUUUCGAUCGGGACGAUUAUGACGGUACCGGAAGAAGAAGCCCCGGCUAACUUCGUGCCAGCAGCCGC
rnacentral:rRNA from 1 species